GAUGAACGCUGGCGGCGUGCCUAAUACAUGCAAGUCGAGCGAACAGACGAGGAGCUUGCUUCUCUGACGUUAGCGGCGGACGGGUGAGUAACACGUGGAUAACCUACCUAUAAGACUGGGAUAACUUCGGGAAACCGGAGCUAAUACCGGAUAAUAUAUUGAACCGCAUGGUUCAAUAGUGAAAGACGGUUUUGCUGUCACUUAUAGAUGGAUCCGCGCUGCAUUAGCUAGUUGGUAAGGUAACGGCUUACCAAGGCAACGAUGCGUAGCCGACCUGAGAGGGUGAUCGGCCACACUGGAACUGAGACACGGUCAAGACUCCUAAGGGAGGCAGCAGUAGGGAAUCUGACGCAAUGGGCGAAAGCAUGACGGAGCAACGCCGCGUGAGUGAUGAAGGUCUUCGGAUCGUAAAACUCUGUUAUUAGGGAAGAACAGAUGUGUAAGUAACUGUGCACGUCUUGACGGUACCUAAUCAGAAAGCCACGGCUAACUACGUG
rnacentral:rRNA from 1 species